UUAAGAAUAAUGCAUUUCCACAUGGAAUCCAUUGCUUUCCAGCUUAGAGGAAAUUCUAUUUUAUUCUUGUUGAUUCAUAGUUUAAUAUGUUGACAAAAGAAAAAAAAUGGAAGAGUGUAAUCAGCUGAACGAGAAUAAUACUCUUAGCCUAGGGGGGAUUUCUUUACGCAACUCAAGUUUUUGCACCAAAUUAUUCAGUAUAUGGGGGAGCGAGUAGCAGCUUAAGCGUGAGUAAUUAACAGACCAGAGAAGGUACGGGAAGUUCUUAGAGUGAUGUUGGAUUCCAAAGCUAACGUCGUAUUUCUGCAAGAAUCAAAGCUUUUGACGUUGAAGGCAGUAUUAUUUCAUCAGCUUCGAUGAGGCACCUUGUCGAGUUCAUUCAAGAUAAUAGCUUUAUCGAUCUUCCUCUUGCUGGAGGACCGUUUACCUGGUGGAAAGGAUUCUUCGGUGAGUUCGGGUCCCCGUCCGUUCAAGUGGUUCAACAGCUGAGCAAAUGAUCAAGGAUAUGUUAAUCUUGUUAAAAGGUCAAUUUAAAUACCCAGGGUUGUGUAUAUCCAAAGUGCUAAAAAAAUAUUAAAUUUGCAUCAAAGUAGUUGGCUUUUCAAACCAAGGAAAGAGAGACAGUGAUGCGUGAAAAGAAAGAAAGAAAUAGUUGAAAGUUGCAUGGGAAAUGAAUCUUGAAAUUGAGUUGAAUUAUAAUAUGGGUAUCACGUGGGUUUUAGUUGAAAAAGUACAAACUGGGAAAUUACAAGAUUGUUCGUGUUCGUUAGAAAAGAUUGGAAGCUAGAAAUCAAGCUGGUGAGCUGGAAUUCAAUAGUAAUAUUUUGGGUUUUGUUGACGUCCUGAAUCCGAAGUUUAUUUCGUCAAAUUUGAACCCAGUAAGCUGUUUUUCACUGAUUAAUCACCCGAUUUGAUCCGUUUUUUGGAAUUAAGCUCCG